GGUGGCUGCACCCUCGCUCAUCGCAGGUUAGUUACGAAACCCGGGAAGCGCUCCGCUCCCAGCUAUUGUUGUUCUCACCAGCAAUGACAGCCCUCCAGGUGAAAACGUCCCUUGAGGGGCUGAGCAAAGCAUAUGCUGCUUGGGAGACUUUGACAGAGAGAAGGACAUAAAACAAAUGGAGUUCAUGAAUAUACAAUUUUUAUUGUACACAGUAGUGACAUCCAAACUUCAGAGAAUAGUAGAAGUAAAACAGCAACAUAAAGAGAGACGUGAACUCAUCAUCAGCAACACCUGCAGCAGCUGAUAGUGUACACUACAAAAAGCAUUUCUCCUUUAUCAGAAAUUGAAUGCUAUUUCUGAGUUCCUGUGGAGCCGCUUCCCUUCGGUUUGACAGUUGUGACUGAAGCAGAGCUGUAUGAACGACUCAAGAAUGCCACGCAGUUCUGAGGAUUUUCCUGGCUGCUUCAUCCCGUACUCCGAGAACCUGCUGUUCAGCGGGGUGCCUCUCGCAGGUGGAAACUGCUGGCAAGCACUACAGCAAAUGCCAUUAUUUGAACUGAAAGGACAACUACUCUCUGAACUCUGGAGUUAAGAUGAAACCAUCUAUGGGAAGUGUUAAGAGUAAUUGUAUGCUCAGAAUGGCUUCAUUUGGGGAUGAUGUGAGACCCCGCGAGGAUUUUUUGCCCUCCAGGUUCCUGCUGGAUUCCCAUGAUGGUUGCUCACAGCUACUAAUUCCUCUGCCAGGGGGUACCAGUGUCACGCUGCACGUUUCGGGGGCAGGUGCUGCUGUGCGACCGCAGCCCGUUUCCUUUUCGGAGAGAAAGACCGGAGGAGAAGGAAAGUGCCCACCGAGUGUCCCGUGACGCAGCUGGUGCCAGAGUGGGAAGGUGAUGGGUGGGCAGGCUGUGAGGCAGCGUGCAGCUGGGUCAUGAAAUGGCAAUUUAGCACAGGGGAGAAUCUGAAAGGCCAGCCAGGGAUUGACGUUGCAAUUAAUUCUCCUACUUUGGUGUUUCAUUGGGUUACUGUGUUUUGACUUGAUUACUUGAUGGAGCACGCUGGGGGUGAAACGACGUUGAGGGAUGUUGAGAGUGCAAGUUCAAAGGACUUUCUACUGUCCACUGUUAAUUUCUCAUCAAACUAAGAGGGAAAAACUUAAUUCUGGGUCACAUCUUCUGUGAAGUUAAAGUAAGACCAUGACUCAAACUUUGAUUUCAGUCUUUUUAUUUACAGAAAUAUUUAUUUCAACCGACUUCACUUUCCUAAGUUGUUUGGGGGGUUUUGUUCUUUGGGUUUUUUUUUGUUUUUUAAAUUAUUUAAACUAUUUGCAGUCAUUGCAAUCUUCAGUAUUUUGUUCUUAGUAUAAGAUAUUUCCACCUAGAGAGUUUCAUUGUCAGGCUUUUCUCUGGCAUAAUUUUGUGUCCCCUUGAGCUUGCGUUUGACACUAGCUCAAAUAGCGUUGCUGCAUCUCUCUUCCUUGGUCCCUUUAGAGUUUCAUGUAUCUCAUUGAAGUCCCUCAUAAGAUCCUCUUUUCCAAACAACACAGACCUACUUUUUCUAACCUUUCAGAAUAUAUAAGACCCAUGAGUCCCUGUAUCAUUCUGGAUGCCCUUAGCUGUGCCUCCUUCCAUUUUUAUGAUACUUUUAUUAUAAAAAGAAAACUAAGACUAUACAUUUCACUCCAAAUGUGUGACCUCAUUUUUUCUCUUUA